AGAAUCAACGCUGGCGGCGUGCCUAACACAUGCAAGUCGAACGAGAAAGUGGAGCAAUCCAUGAGUAAAGUGGCGCACGGGUGAGUAACACGUGACUAACCUACCUUUUAGUGGGGGAUAACCUAGGGAAACCUGGGCUAAUACCGCAUAACACUUACGAGUCAAAGCAGCAAUGCGCUGAAAGAGGGGGUCGCGGCCGAUUAGCUAGUUGGCGGGGUAAUGGCCCACCAAGGCAGUGAUCGGUAUCCGGCCUGAGAGGGCGCACGGACACACUGGAACUGAAACACGGUCCAGACUCCUACGGGAGGCAGCAGUGGGGAAUUUUGCGCAAUGGGGGAAACCCUGACGCAGCAACGCCGCGUGGAGGAUGAAGUCCCUUGGGACGUAAACUCCUUUCGAUCGGGACGAUAAUGACGGUACCGGAAGAAGAGCCCCGGCUAACUUCGCGUCAGCAGCCGC
rnacentral:rRNA from 1 species